rnacentral:tRNA from 1 species
GGAUUCUAAAUUAAACUAUUCUUUG